rnacentral:rRNA from 1 species
UACGAAGGGGGGCUAGCGUUGUUCGGAAUUACUGGGCGUAAAAGCGCACGUAGGCGGAUCUUUAAGUCAGGGGUGAAAUCCCGAGGCUCAACCUCGGAACUGCCUUUGAUACUGGGGAUAUCGAGUCCGGGAGAGGUGAGUGGAACUGCGAGUGUAGAGGUGAAAUUCGUAGAUAUUCGCAAGAACACCAGUGGCGAAGGCGGCUCACUGGCCCGGUACUGACGCUGAGGUGCGAAAGCGUGGGGAGCAAACAGG